UUUUUGCGUGAGGGAUGGCAGUGGAGCUCUUUUUUCUUAUCAAUUGCCACGGGUUUAAACCCGUGGCAAUUGAUAAGAAAAAAAGCGGGAACGUACAGCCCGACCCAAA
rnacentral:sRNA from 1 species